AGAGGUGCAAACAGCAUGGCCUUCUUUCCUAUCUUUUCCCCCUCCUCCUCCUCCACCCCCUCCCCCACACACACCUCCUGCUGUUAUAUCGUCACCCUCAUAAAGUAAUUGCCUAAGUCAUUUUUCAGUGAUUUCCAUUUUUGUUAAGUUGUCUUAGAUAUUCAGGGUUUGAGUGUUCUAGAAUUGCCUUUUUAUUUCUGCCUAAAUCUUAAGCCAAAUGAGAUGAUGACGUUCUCUUCUUGAAAAAUAGAAAAUAACGACUUGGGCGGUUUCUUUACGAAGGUGGCGAGAUUGUAAUAGGUUUUGCACCCUCUAUUUAGGGAUGUGCACUAAUUUUUGUCUCUUCUCUUCCCCUCCUCCUCCCCUGGCUGGCCGGGGAACGGAGGAGGAGCACUAGGACGAGGAGGUGAAGGGAGGCACUGGGAGAGACGACUCGAGCACAAGGAGGCAAGAGACAAGAAGCAGAGACGCAGGAACAGAAAGGCAGCCAGAUGGUCGAUGCUGUGAAGAGGAGGAAGAUGACUGCAGGAGGCGGUGUGUGUGUGUCGGGGAAGGAGAUGACAGCCCACCCUCACACACAGCUGGUUAAGGCCUGCAAGAGAGCCUAGUCAAUGAAGAGGAAAAGAAGACAAGAAUAAAGAAUAAAGAAGACAAGAAGAAAGAAGAGAGGCAAAACAGGAGGAGGGGAUUUUUUUUCUGUCUAUACCUGAAGUGUGAUGAAUUUACUAAGGGUAUAUUUAAGCCUGAUAUAACGUACUUUAAGGUAUAUUUAAUGGUACAAGUGUGUAGCCUACUUUUGCCUGGAGUUGGAGACGGUAAGAUGCUCUCCGACUCCUUUAUUGUGGUGCUGUGUGGUUUGUUUACUGUGGUGCGAUGUGGGUCAUUUACUGUGGUGCGGUGUGGCUCGUUAAUUAAGGUGAGGUGUGGUUCGUUUAUUGUGGUGCGGUAUGGUUCGUUUACUGUGGUGCGGUGUGGCUCGUUAAUUAAGGUGAGGUGUGGUUUAUUUAUUGUGGUGCGGUGUGGUUCGUUAAUUAAGGUGAGGUAUGGUUCGUUUACUGUGGUGCGGUGUGGCUCGUUAAUUAAGGUGAGGUGUGGUUCAUUUAUUGUGGUGCGGUGUGGUUCGUUAAUUAAGGUGAGGUAUGGUUCGUUUAUUGUAGUGCGGUGUGGUUCGUUUACUGUGGUGCGGUGUGGCUCGUUAAUUAAGGUGAGGUGUGGUUCAUUUAUUGUGGUGCGAUGUGGCGUUGCGGGCUUUACUUUCCCUACCACUGCACCAGACAAGGGUACGGGGGAGGGGGUGGAGUCAAUUUUUUUUAUAUCCGACUCCACACCCAUGUUAGAGUGUAAGAGUAUUGAUGGCAUAUAUUUAGGUGCUGGGUGAUACUGUGGUGCUCUCGUCGCGGCAACCCAUUCUGCUUCUGCAUAAUGACCCGUACUGCUGCAUGACGCAUAGCAACUCGUGUUUUUUCCGCUGCCGCAACGACCCGUACUGCUAACGCAUAAUGACCUGUGCUGCUUCUGCUAUUGUAACAACUCUUACUGCAAUAACUUACUGCUGCUUCCAUUUAAAAACGUAUUGUUUCCGCUGUUUCGAUUAUCACAACCACCCACACUGCUGCUGCUGCCCACGCACUGCCCAGAUCUUCAAACAGUGGCUUGCUUGACGUGAAGCGUUGGCCAAGCAGGUCAUCCAUCAUGGCAGUCACUAGAGAUAAAAUUCACCUGUGCCACUUCUGCUGUCGCAUAAACCCAACCCAUGAAUUUUCUGAUCAAAGAUCAAAGAGAGGAUUAGGCCUUCAGGGGACACCUCUUAAAUAAAAACGCGCCUGGGACUUUUACCUCAGAGGUGGUGUGGAAAAAAAGUCCAAUCACAAAAAUAAGUAUCUUAUACUCCAUGAAAGUGUCUCAGUCUUAUGAGAACACAAAGGUUGAGAGGGCUCAAACAUUCUGUUGUUUCCCACAUAUGCUCCCAUGUUAGCAGUAAGGGUACUAAUUUCUGAUCUCUGUACAAAACAACCAAAUAAUAAGGAAAAGAAAGUUGAAUAAAAUGUUUGCCUGCAUUAUCCGUCAGCAGCGUAGACGUAACAAGGGUUGAAAAAAUGACUUAUUUAUUACAGCCGCUGGCCAACGCCUUGACCCCAGAGGCUUUGUGUUUGUCUCCGCGUCCUCCGCACUACACUGCACAGAAUCUGGCGAGCCUGGGUUGUGACAGCUAUUUCCCAAAGCCUCCAAGGAUACCAGUCAGGCUUAUGAGUGUUUUUCGUGUUGUUGGGGAAGCUCGCAAAUCUACACCUGGAAAUACUACUACCAACACAACCCAUAUGAAAGCCUUUCCUAAAACAUAAAACCUCUACCAGUGCCUUACCAGACGGAACCAAAGCUUACCAAAUACCCAAAAAUCUCUACUAUUUGUGGUUGACUCAAGGUAUUGAAUUUUCACUUGUUUUUUUACACUGAUGUUAGUGUCCCUUAUAUGUCUUGUUGGGUCUGUUAUUUGUUCUAUAUAUAAGGUAUUGAAUUUGCACUUAUUUUUUAUAAUGACGUUAGUGUCCCUCAUAUGUUGUGUCAUUGAGGGAGUGUUUGGGUCUAUCAUUUUUGUUUUGAUGCCCCUUUCAUGGAUCUAAAUAAUGACAUCCACCUUAAAAUAAAUGUAUGUGUCUGUGGUCAUCCCAAAGCUGAAGGUUGGUAUCUACUCCACUGUUUUUCAUGUUUUCUCGGACAGUUCAUAUUAUUAGCAAAUGUUUUUACCCGUCCGCUGUGAUUGGCAUGGAUUUCGCCUUCACUGGUAACCUGGUAACAUGUACUCCCAAAUCAUUCUUUGUCUCUGUGGUGGAUAGUGGAGUGUUUCCCAUGUGGUAUUGGUGUGCUGGA